rnacentral:rRNA from 1 species
UACGUAGGUGGCGAGCGUUGUCCGGAUUUACUGGGCGUAAAGGGAGCGUAGGCGGACUUUUAAGUGAGAUGUGAAAUACCCGGGCUCAACUUGGGUGCUGUAUUUCAAACUGGAAGUCUAGAGUGCAGGAGAGGAGAAUGGAAUUCCUAGUGUAGCGGUGAAAUGCGUAGAGAUUAGGAAGAACACCAGUGGCGAAGGCGAUUCUCUGGACUGUAACUGACGCUGAGGCUCGAAAGCGUGGGGAGCAAACAGGAUUAGAUACCCGCGUA